rnacentral:rRNA from 1 species
UACGUUCCCGGACCUUGUACACACCGCCCGUCAAGCCAUGGAAGUUGGAGGACCUGAAGACAGUUGCUGUAAGGCGCUGUUUAGGGUUAACUGAUAACUAGGGCU